GAUGAACGCUGGCGGCGUGCCUAAUACAUGCAAGUCGAGCGAACAGACGAGGAGCUUGCUCCUCUGAUGUUAGCGGCGGACGGGUGAGUAACACGUGGAUAACCUACCUAUAAGACUGGGAUAACUUCGGGAAACCGGAGCUAAUACCGGAUAAUAUAUUGAACCGCAUGGUUCAAUAGUGAAAGACGGUUUUGCUGUCACUUAUAGAUGGAUCCGCGCCGCAUUAGCUAGUUGGUAAGGUAACGGCUUACCAAGGCGACGAUGCAUAGCCGACCUGAGAGGGUGAUCGGCCACACUGGAACUGAGACACGGUCCAGACUCCUACGGGAGGCAGCAGUGGGGAAUCUUCCGCAAUGGGCGAAAGCCUGACGGAGCAACGCCGCGUGAGUGAUGAAGGUCUUCGGAUCGUAAAACUCUGUUAUUAGGGAAGAACAAAUGUGUAAGUAACUAUGCACGUCUUGACGGUACCUAAUCAGAAAGCCACGGCUAACUACGUG
rnacentral:rRNA from 1 species